ACGAACGCUGGCGGCGUGCUUAACACCUGCAAGUCGAACGGAAAGGCCCUGCUUUUGUGGGGUGCUCGAGUGGCGAACGGGUGAGUAACACGUGAGUAACCUGCCCUUGACUUUGGGAUAACUUCAGGAAACUGGGGCUAAUACCGGAUAGGAGCUCCUGCUGCAUGGUGGGGGUUGGAAAGUUUCGGCGGUUGGGGAUGGACUCGCGGCUUAUCAGCUUGUUGGUGGGGUAGUGGCUUACCAAGGCUUUGACGGGUAGCCGGCCCGAGAGGGUGACCGGCCACAUUGGGACUGAGAUACGGCCCAGACUCCUACGGGAGGCAGCAGUGGGGAAUAUUGCACAAUGGGCGGAAGCCUGAUGCAGCAACGCCGCGUGCGGGAUGACGGCCUUCGGGUUGUAAACCGCUUUCGCCUGUGACGAAGCGUGAGUGACGGUAAUGGGUAAAGAAGCACCGGCUAACUACGUG
rnacentral:rRNA from 1 species